AUGUAUAUUACCUGUUACUUUGUGUUUGCUGGGGAUCCAUACAGAGAAUAUAGGACGCAGGCAAAUACACAAUUACGAGUAAAAGCGGAUAAUUCUAGAAAUUAUUUCAAAUUAAAUUUAAAAACUAUAUUUAUUAUAAAAACUAUAUUAAAUUUCGAUUAAAUUAAAAAAAUAUAUUUUUACAUAAAAAUAACUGGUACAUCUCGACGAGCUUUUGUUGAUCGAGUUAGGAUCUAACUGCGUCGUUCAUCAGUUCACGCUUAUACGGGCGGCAGUGGAACAAGAUCUGCAGGAUCAGCCGGUGACACACGACGUUCCGCUCACGAUCAGCUCACGGGAUGGAUGUUUGCGAAACCGACAUUUGGUGCCUCACGGAUGCUUGUACGCGCCGUUCUCCACGGCUUAAUGAGAUACCGGCGCACGUGAUCGUUACAUUAGAGGAUCCUCGUGGAAUAUGGAUUACCCGUCGAAUCGCGCUUACGUUAAACGUUGCGCUGACCGUUUUCAUCUCCCGCGUCUCGUGCAGCCGCAAAGUGUUUCGUUAUAAAAUUUCCGCCUGUAUUUGUGUGUAUGUGUGUGUGUUUGCGCUCCGCACGAUGACGAUACGCGAGAUCUUAACGAGCGCGAACGGAAUUACGAGAGACCUACGUCGUCGUUCUCGAUGAGGAAACAGUUGGCGCAAUAACGUCUCAAUGCAUUUGAUGGACGCUGUUCGCUCAUUUAUUCGCUGCACCCACGCACGGGUUGUACAGGGUGUUGCAGAGAGGGUUGCCCAGGAAUUGUUAACUUUUUAAAUCUGGGCGUUCCUGAGAUAGUUAAUUGCCUGCAGCGGGAAUUUCCAGCAAGAUCUCUUGCUUGCGGAUAUAUUUUAUCCCAGAAACGAGAAACGUUUCUUUUCCUCAAGUUAAUGACGAGCGAUUUCCGUAUCGGAGGUAUUUAAUUAUCCCGACGGGAAAAAAGAAAAUGUGAUUUACUUCUUUUUUUCUAAAAUUAUAAUCAAUCAGUAGUUAUAAUCGAAUUAAUGAGAGAAAGAGAGAGAAGAUUAAUUCCUUUUCAAUUAUCACACUAAUGCGAGAAAGAAGCGAACAUUACAAGCGGAAACGAAAAGCAAUAGAGAAUAAUUGCUUUUAUUCUUUAUUUCGCGGAUAAGUGUGUAGUUUUGCGGGAUAAAUCCCCCUGAGAGAAAGAGAGAUAGAGAGAAGGAAAAAAGAGAGAAAAUACUUUUCGUUUUUUAUCGAAAUAGUAACGUAUCCACGCUCGCUCGCUUUGCCCUCGCACGCGUCCAAAUUACGGGGGCGCGCAACAUUAUUAAUCGUCGCCGGUGUCGCGGAGGGUGCACGGCGUAUAAUCGAAUAAUUCUCGUCGGGAAUUCGGUUUUAUGCCGAAGAUGUGUCGGGGGGGAAGGGAGGGCAGACGACGAUUUGUUCUGCCGUAGCGAGAAUGACGGAUGGCGAUGACGGAGCCAAUUCCGCGGUCGUCCCAAGUUACCGCGAACUUUCGUCCUUUGCCGUGGUCGUUACGAGGCUCUCAAGGGCCGUCCUCGUCCUCCGACUCCUGUCAUCUUAUCGACGUGUAAUCGACUCGUCUACCUUCAACAUUUGCGAUGUGUGACACGAAGAGCGUCACGGGACACGUGGCAGCCGAUGGAACGUUAUAAUCGUAGCCGAAUUGCGGACUCUUCAAGAUUAGCUUAUUCAAUUUGCUUAAGUGAGGGUCUGCUAAUUCGAUUUUUUAAAAAUAUUAUUGAAUCUUGUAGAAAGAGAGAAACAGAGAGCGAGAGAGAGAAUAUUGUUAUUAAAAUUAAUUUCUAUAAAAUUAUUUGAGAAAUAUGAACUUGUUAUGACAAAGCAGAGGUUUUUCUUAUUGCUGCAGGCAAACUUGGAGUGAUUUGCUGGUGUACAUCUGCAUACAUCUUCGCGGCGAUAUAACAGGAUAAUGACGUGUGGUAAUACUAUCAGGUAAUAGUCUCCGUGACGGUUACGAUCUCUCUUUUGUUGCGCUAUCGUGUAAUCGAAAGGUGUUGCCGGCGCGGAGGCGAACGAGAUUAUAGGUAUCAAGCUAUUCGCGAUUACGAAAUGAGAAUUGGAAACUACUGCAGACUUAUGAUUAACAAGUGAACGGAGUGCCCCGAAAAGUGCUUCUUGCAACGGAAUAUGCAAUGCAUUCUUCAACAUGCAACUGACGUAAUAAUUUAUAAUCAGCAUUAUUAGUAAGAUCACAAAAAUAUUAUAAUAUUGUACAAAAUAUUUUAUAUAGAAUUGAUCGAAAAUUGAUGCGAUUUAUAAAAUUUGCAGUUCAAUAUUGAGAGCAUAAAUUCCACGUUUUAAACCGUUGCUUCAGAAAUAUUCAGAAUUCAGAAUUCGAUAUAUUAAUAUCGAUUAUUCGAUAGGAUUGAAGAAAUCGCAAAGAAUGCUUCAGUGCCAUGGACUGAAUUCCGCCUGGAAUCCCGCGCGGGGGUGCCUGUGGGGGUGUCAGUGCGAGCUGCAAUUCCGGACGCGGCGCUCCGGGAGACAUCAACAACCCCCGUCGUUCGGCAUUGAAGUUCGGCAUUCGAGGGGUGUCAAGUUACGGAGAUUUCAACAGAGAAAAGCCGAAACACGAGGCCGUCGAGCUCGAAUUCUCUCGGCGCCUCCUCGCUCUUUCCUCGCGCUCGCUCGCACCCUGCUCGUCGACCUGCUCCUCCGCUUCUCGUCCGCGGCCUCCUCCUCAUCCUCCCUCAUCGUCGGCGCAAACGCGGCGUUAUCGACCACCCGGAGCACCGCGACGACACGGCCGGUCGGCCGCGUGUGUCUGGCACGUGUGUGUCCAGCGUGUCUCUCUCAUCCGUGAAGAGUAAGUUGCGAGGAAAAAGAGAACGCGUUACUCAUAAAUUAAAUCUUCUGCCCUUUCACGAAGUCCUCAAAGCAUCUACGCUUUUGCGCUAACGCAAUGCGAUAACGUGUACAUCUGUUGCCUGAUCAUAUACUGGCUUGACCCAGAAGCUCGUCUGAACUUUGGAAAGGGAAAAGAUGAGCUGAGAUUUGUAAUAUUAAUGAAUCACGUUAAUUGAUAGCUUAUUUGCGAAGAAUAGAUGUAAAGUGAAUGUAGCGAUUUGCUCGUUUUACGCUUUCCCCGUAUGAAGCUUGAACUUGUUUCAUUUCAGUCGAACGAGGAAACUGCUGACACGGUGAUAAUGAGCAGAACACGUCGGAAUUUAACGUGUCGCGAACUUGUCGCAGAGAGAGCGCAGGGGGAAAUUUAGCGAGGUCCUGACACUGGUGGGCUCCCUCCGCUCGCGAAACCGCUCAUAUUUCAGACAACUCGUCGCGAAUGUAUUAUACAUAGUGUGUAUCGAGUUUCUCGUUCAACGCGAUACUUCAUUAGCCACGGUGAAAACGCACCGGGUCGGGUCAGGAGGGCUUACGCGCUCUCCAAUCGAUGGACCUCUCGCUUCUUCCCUUCGAUACACGCACACACACACACAUACCACGCAAGUAGAGACGAGAUGAGCUUCCCUUUGCAACCCCAUCGCGUGAUCCGCAAAUUAAAAAAAAGAGAAAGGCUGAACGCGUAGAAAGUCUCUCUCGCGGAUCUCUCGCGGAUGGUUGAUGCGGUCGAUUCAGCCAUGAAACUCUUCGCUCGCUGCACUCAGUAUACAACAACAAGAAAAUAGAAGAAAGAAGGGCAAUCAAAAAUAGCGCAUUAUCGAAAAUAUCAUGAAAUAUCAGUAAUGUCAGAAUCGGUUCACGGCGAUUCUAUUUGAAGCCGCAUCCUGAAUAUCCUGAAGAUCACUUUUAAUGCCGAGCGCUGCGGACGUGCUAUUCUCAGAUCAAUUCGCACAGGAGGAGAACAAUCAGCGUCGCAUGGGAAUAGAACGGCAUUUAGCGUGACGUGUUUAGCAUUACAGAGGUGCGCUGGGCCUGUAAUAUCCGCCCGUCAAAUUUCCAGAGUUCCCUGAAACCAAUACGCGACGACGUCGCGUGUUCAGCAACGGAACGUGAACGCUCAGCAGCCCGAGCAGAAGGCUGUUAAUGCUGGGCAGUUCGCGGAGGGUGUUUUUCACUGAAAACGAUCAUGCUCCUGCAAAGCCGAGGAACGGCGAGGAACGCGUCAGCAACGUUCGUGGCUGCAAUUUCCGAAAUUGCGUCUGCAAUUCCGCCGUAAUUCCGGAGUUGGAAGUGCCUCUUGUUCCCCCUUGCGAGCGAGCAAUUUUUACUUUCUGCAUCAUUAUUACGCAUCAUUUUACGAACUGCAUCUUCGACGUUAUGUGCGAUUAGAGAUCGCGAUCGGAAAAUCGAUCUCUCCAGUGCGUUGGAAAGCGACGCAACGCGGGAUCAGGCGUGCGCAGAUAUAAUUGGGACAAUGUUAAUUUUCCUUGCCGCAUUUCAUCAACGUUUGAAAUCGCAAGCAGAUCAGCCCGAAGGCAAUUCUGCGCGACGGUUAAAUGCAUAUACGGUAUGCAUUGCAUCUAUUUUGCGCUCGGGAUGGAUCAACGCUGAAUAUACGUACGUUUGAAUAUCUAGUUAAUAGCGCGUUACAUCGAUUGUACGCUAAAGCGCGCGCGCGCGUCUGCAUCUGCAUUACUUGACCGCGAUUCGAACGGCACGGAGUUUGCUUAAUUUUCCAUCAACAACUCGAUUCGUGCCGUCUAUUGUCACGGCGGAGCGCGACGUGAUUUCAUUAAAUUCUCCAUUAACAUUGUAUUUUACGCGAACGAUAUACCGCUUUGCGCUUUGCUGGGUUGCUGAGUGCUUCAAUUGACCUGUUUCUUCCAACCCGCAAGCGCUUUGAAAUUAAUUUCAAAAUUAAUCAGAGCGUUCUGCUCGGCUUAAUUAACCUGACACAGUUUUUAUGUGGAUAAUUGAAUAUUUAACCGCCGAGUGCAACACUGCGCAAAAACUUUGUCCAAGAGUUUCCAACAAAUUCCCCCCCCUCUCUCUCUUUAAAGUUAUUUUAAAUCAUUUAUGAAAAAACUAAAUUAUUUCCACGAUAAAGAAAUGUACGAAAGAAAUUAAUAUAGACAAUAUGAAAUUUCUCGCAAUGUUAAUAAUAAUAUACAAGGCAUUUUACAAAAUACAUCUAUUCUCCGAUGUGAGAAACAUCACCACUGUGUAUGUCUUCAUCUAAUGGACCAACAAACGAGGAAUAAGCCAAGGCUUUCAUUUUCUUAUUAGACCUUCAUUACGCUUGCAAGUCGUGACGCGUGCAGUCUCUUUCACGAGGAGCCUCGCGAAGUCCCGCACGUACACGGAACGGGAAGCGGGAUCGAUUCCGAAUCCGCUGGAAUAGGAAGCCGGAUUGCGGAGACCUCGACGAGGAGACUUCGACGGAUCGCGUGCACGGGGUAUCCGUUGAUCCGCGAAGAAAACGAGAUCGAGAAACCACGUGACGCGAGGGAUUAACUGAGCGUGCGUUCUCAAUCUUAGCGACCCCCCGCGGCAUCCGAAAAUCUCGAAUUAAUUUUCUUUCCCAUCUUCCUUCCUCUUUCUCUCUUUCUCUUUUUCUUCCAUCUCGUCCUCUUCUUUUCUUUGUGUGAGGGAGGAAAAACUACAUAAGGGAAAGCCCGCAGGGUGUAGUUAGGCCUUAGACGCUUUACGGAUUCAGGGAAACUUUCGCUUGCGGAUCUUCCGAGCUCGACGCGAUACGUAAGUUUCACCAUCGAAAACGUGAUGGAUUUUCCUUGGUUGUUCUUGCAUUCGUUAUGGUGCUUGCACAGUUUGGAAUUAACAUAUACCGUUAAUUACGUAAUAUUCUUUGUCAUUGUCACAUCUUCAGACUUCCUUCAAUAUUUCUUCAGUAUUAAUAUUCUUAAAUCGUCGAGAAAAAGAAGAUCGAACAGAUAUAGUUAUUUCUUCUUUAAAUUGAAGACAUCGAAGUUCUAUUUCUCCAUCUAGUCUUUAUUAUUUUCAGCAAAUUUUGCGAGGAAGAAAGAGAGUUACGUCAAUUUCACCAUUACGUGAUUUCCGACGUGGAGUAUUCCAAUAUGCGAGCGAAAGUAAAAAAUGGACAGGCUUGGAAGCUGCAGCUUUCUGUUAUUUUAAGAAUAUGAUUUAAAAAUCAUACGUCAGUGUCAUAAAUGAAGAAUGACGCGUGGAUCCUUCCAGCGCGCCGAAUACAGCGCUGUUCGAUUUCAGCCUCCGUUUUCCCAAGCGACGCGAGAUGGGAAUCAAGCAGAGAGCUACAUUUAACACGAACGCGCCCAGCUGGGAUUAUUCAUCUCUCACACCUCACGUCUCGCAUCUCCUCUGCAUUAUCUUGCAUCUGUUCAAUCCCGCGGUGCUGGUCCAGGUAAACCACAGAUAAACCAAGAUAAUAGAACGCACCAAUGGCAUCUAUUUACAUCGAACAAUGAAACUUUUCUUUAAUAUCCAACAAGCUUUCCCAUAAUUAAUUAUACAUCUUGAUCGCUUCAGAACUGCUCGAGAAUCGCGCGAAGCGUCGCUCGUCGCAGCAGCAUCUUUCUGCCAACGGGGACACGCACGGCGAACACCAUCAAUAAUGCAGCCGGUCGCAUUACAUCAUAUUACAUCAUACAAUGCGGCCGAUUUGAUGGGAACGCCAACGCGCGCGCCAGAGAUAAAACGCUAACAAUAAGAAAAGGCAAGACUGUGGAACGUUGCGCGAUGCGAGCUGCUUGGUCGAUGCGGAUCGAUCCGGCUCUUUAAGCGGGUCGCAACCUCCAGCGAGUCCGGCCUUUAGGACGAGGUCGCGUGCUGACCCAAAUCGGCAGCCUCACCUCGCCUUACCUGUGGUGCGCCAUGGCCGCCUCCUCCGGUGCUUCUCUUGCCUGCAAUCGUUACCCCGGAUUCUGCGCACUCUUGUCGCGGCGCGCCGAGGACACCCUUGCGAGAGGCGAGCCCGCUCGCCUGGCUCGUCUGGAUUCUACCCGGCGAACCGGGGGUCAACCCCUCGUUCUUUCACCUGGCCGCGGACGAUAACACGCGCCCCCGAGUCGUCGACGUCGGCGUCGCCGUCGGUCGAGACCUCGGUAAUGAGUAAAGGUUGAUGAAUAAUUGAGACCAUGAUUGAGUCGAGCUUCUAGUUUUGUGCAUGUUUCAGUUGGGAGAACUUUGCCCUCGAACAGUAAUGAAAAUACAAUACGAUAGUUCUGUUGGUUUCCGUAAUCUGUCAUAGCUAGAAGUAUUUUCGGUUUUAUUCCGCGUUGUCGCUGGACAUUAAAUGAUAUUUGCGUGUAUCGUUGAUGAAAGAUACUGUGGCAAUUUAUAAUCGAGCAAACACAUUGCCUCGUGUCGUGGCGCAAUUUGGAGUAGCUCUCCAAUUCGUUGCACGCAUCCAGCCAUCGUUGCCCGUUUCCGACGUGAUUGCGCCAACCAAUUGCGAAAGUAAUAACGACUUUUAUCUGUUAUAAAUUUCAACGCGGCAUGUUAGCGAGUCGGGAUUCUCCCAAAGUUUCAUCGUAAAGUGUUUAAUUACCGCCGACAACGGAGAUCUCGGAAAUCUAGGGCCGCAACAAUAUGCUGCGCGCAACAGGAUCGCUGCGCUGUGUGAACAAAAUGAAAUAAUGCCGUGGAAAAUCUUUGUUACAGAUACAACCGAGGCCUGCCUGCCUGCGAAAUGAUGAGAAACUAGUUUAAAACUUAGACGAGCGACUUAGGCAGGAAGAGAGAGACACAACUCCCAGUAUUUUACAUGAAAAAGUCUUUAAUGACUUUUCCAAAAAUUCCUUUUCAGAAAGAUGGCAACUUUUUAAGGAAGCAUUUUCUGAGAACGCGUUGUUUCCCAUGGCGCUACCAUUUCUGGACAACAAUAGACGAUAAUCCUCUUCUUCGUUCUCUCCUGAGGAAACUUUCCUCCGUUAGAAUAUUCAAGACUCAUGGCUGUCUGGAUGACUUUUUGGACGGCUUUCCGGCCAAACCUCGUAUUCAAGUCCUCCCCCUUCAGCCGAGGGUAGGAGCCGACGCGUGCACGGCGGUUCGCGAAGGCGUGUAAGACCCCCGUAAGUAACCUGCAUCGAUCCACCUGACCUGCCCUGCCCUGCUGCCGUCGUCCCUUCUUGCAUGUACAUCCCCGGACUCGAGAAAGAGAGAGACAGAGAGAGACUUUCUCGAGCCGCACGUUCGUUCGUUCGAGAAUCGUCGCGUGACCACCGGAGAACGGCAUAAACCGAGAUUCAGGCUGUGUAAUUCACGAAAAUUUCAGCCGGCUCCGAGUAAUGAUACGAUCAGAGAGUAACAAAUCGUGGCCCUUUAGCUGUCGCAGUAACGACCCAUACUUGCAGCGUUUUUACAAAAAUAGCUCGGUUAUUUUCCUACGUUUGACCCACUUGAAGCUUCUUCUGCCGAAGCUCUUUUACCGCCUCAACCCUCGCAUAUGUGAUCGAAGUGUCAUCUUUCAAAAAUUCUACUCGCUUUCCUCGUUAGGGAAAAUAUAUUCCUGUCCUUAUCAUUUUUUGGUAUCCUUUCCAGUUCUCCCAGAACGACCUGACAAGAGCAGUCGAUCUCGAACUGCUCGUCAAGCCAUUUCGAAAAUUGCAUUUCGGUCUUGUUCCUGGCCCAUGUUGAGCUCUCGGAGAGCAUUCGAUGCGCACGCCACGAGGACCCUUCCUCAAGGACGAGGAAGGGGCUGCCUUGAGACAAGAUAGAAUUAAAGGUUAAUCCCGCGGGGUAUAUCUACCCCAAUAAGAGAGGGAAAGGGAGAGAAAGAGAGAGAGAAAGGGAGGGAACGGAGGGAUUUUUCCCUUCGCCGUGUUCCAUCGUGUUCUUUCAUCUUCCUCUCCUUCGGAGGAUAGGAAGGUUUUGUUUUUCACUCCAGACUGGAAGACACCAUAAAUAUUUGCGUUCCUAAGUGCUUCUCUGGAAUAUAAGAGCAAGCCGCCGUCGAGAAGACGCGGAUCUCUCUCGCGCGAACUGACGAAUGCUCUUUUACGUGAAAAGACGAUUUCCUUGUCUUGAUCAGCUUCGCAGGAAUGAAGACUGCAGUCAUUAUCCUUGAAGGAUCCUCCUAGAGGUUUUAUGCGCGCAACAUAAAUUUGCUUUCUGAGAAUUUUAGUCAAGUUCUGCGAUGCAAAAUUUACAAUCUGUUUAUAUUUAAUUUGCAUCGAAUCUUAUAUUAAAUUUACGUGUAAAAAGUGUGCCUUUCUAAAUAUUUAAUUAAAAAAUUUAGGUUAGUUAGACUUUAAGCACAAAAAUCCAAAUUAAUAAGCUUCUUAAAAUUCUUAGCAAUUGCUGGGUCGCCGCGUUGGCAUAUUUUACGUCUUCAACUUCUUCGAAUUUAAACUCCCGAUUAAAUUAUUUCGAACAUUUUUAAUAUAUACACGGACUUUGUAAUACAUAUGUAUACAAAUCCACUUUAAGCUCGAAUCUCUGCAAAACCAUCUCCUCGUUUCGUGCGUCUCCUUUCGAAUUAGUUGCGGAUUCUUCGGGAUCAUUCAGUCGUUCACCUCCGCCCCGCAUUACUGUCCAUUGCGCGCCUUCCAAGCUCCUGGGUGAGAUUGGCUUUGUGCACCCCUUAUCCGCGUAGGGACGAUUUACCCAGCUCGUAUCGGGUACAUAUUAUAUCGGCCAAUUUCGUGUACGACAUUCGUUUUGUUCCUGCCGAUCGUUCGUGUCUUCCAGGCGUGUUUCCAUAUCCCGUUUCUUCAUUCUCGAGGAAUCGAAAGAUAACACAAAGAAGGGAACAGAAUAAAUGAGAACAUAUUUAUAAAAAUUUUAUCGUACGAUUUACUCUCGUUCUUUUUUUAUAUAUUUUACGUGUUUCUCGCCAUCGAAUUUCUCACAUUAUUUAUUCAAACGUCACUCACCUCCCAGAAUUUUUUUAACAUUAAAUUCUUUUUGUUUUUAAUUACAACUGCUUUGUUAUUAUAUUAAUUACAAUUGCUUAACAGUAAUUAGUCCUGAAACAAUAUUUGACUCGGUUGAAAAUGGAACGAGAAUCGGAGGAACAUGCGUGAAACGCGGGUAAUGAGCGACAGUGGUAGUAGUAAGAGGCGAAACGAAUAGGACAAACCGCGAGAACGAAAACAUCGGAUAGGGGUUGUCACCCUUCGAGAUCGGCCGUUCGCCGCUGUAUCGUCGUAGCGAUCCCGCAGACAAUCCGUAAGGGCUUAGCGCUGUUUCAACAAGGGAUUACCGGCGCGUCCCUAAGCCGGGCGAUAUGCGAUCCACCGUUGCAGGAUCCACCCGCGUGCGCCCAUCGGGGACAAACAUUUAAAUUGCCAAGAUUACGCGAAGUGGCUGCGUGCUGCUGGUGAAACCGCGACAUUGUAUCCUGACGGAUACGCGAACGGGGAUCAUCCGCGUCUGGGCGUUUCUUUAAAUUAGCUUGGAUCUUUUAAUUCCCGCUGACUAAUAAAAGGGAUUAUUAAUAGUCGUAAUUAGCCGUUUAAUUUGAAUGGGAUGGUUUCACGUUCUGCGCGGCAUGAUGACACGAGAACCGCAAGAGAGGCACAGUCUUGCCACGAGUCUCAUCUUAAACCGUGACGAGCAUACGUGCUUAUCUUCUCCGUACGUGUCUGGCCGGCGGCAAUUUAUGAACCGCAAUACCGCGUAUAUUAUUCUCCGCAAUGCAUACAGGCGGUCUCAAAAGUUGCGCACUUUCACUUAAUGCACGUUUCAACUUGAUUACAUGCCGCUCGAUGGAGACUUGCUUGACGGAUAAUCGCUUUAAAAGAUUUUAUGAAGCAUUACCCGCGUCAUUACUCGCAAGUUUUUAACUUUUUAACGAGCUCUAACACAUUAAAUCAACAUUACAUUUAUUCAACGAUCUUUUUCCAAAGAGAAAGAAUUUCAAUGCAGCGAACGAGAAACUUCAGUGUCCAUUUAAAUCCAAAGCCUAAUCCGGCUAAUCCGAUUUCAAAGCAACUCCUCAACUUGCAACCGCAAUUGAAAGCAGUGGUAAUUGAAAGUGCCGUUGUUCUGGAACAUCCUGUAUGUUCAUCCGCCGCGGUUUUGCGUUGCAGAAUCGCGUGCCAGUAAUCACGUUCAACCUCGGAUAUCGUUGACACUUGCUCGCUCGAGAGCGUGAAAGCAUUCGUAAUCCUCUUAGCCAUGUCGAGAACAUGGCACACAAGCAAUAAUUUCGUUUUUCCAUUCAUUUUUAUUUGGACACUGUCAAAUUGCUGUUUUGCUGCAAAUUCAGUACUCCGAACUCAGUUGCCUGCGAUGAUCGAUCGUGCGCGAUGCGAUGAAAGGUACCGCAACUACGGAAACUACGGUACCGCAACAUCUAAUUCUAAUGCUAAAUCAACGAUUGUCAUAAUUUGUGUCAAAGUUUUAUCUAUUCCAGUAUUAUUAGCUAUUUUACGAAAUUUUUUAUUAGAAAAAUAUUUAUUAUUUAUUAUGAUUUUGCAUUUUCUUAUUGUUUAGCAAUUUGAACGCUAAAGCUUGCAUCACCGGACAUAUUUAGAUGUCGAGACCUCAACAGUUUAUCUGAUAUGGGAUUUUCGAGACACAAAGGCGCUCGCGUAAAGGGAAAAAUCGUGCAAAUGGCUGACGCAGAGGUACACGAGGCACGAGGAGAAGAUUAGGUGUACCGUUGGUGUAUCGAUUCACUGGCGGCUUCAGCUUUAUCGGGCGAAGGACUUUUCGCCUGUCGAACGGCGCUUGACACGUCCCGAAAUAAGACAAAAAGGAGGCGCGCAGGAAUGAAGGAAGCGCAACUAGGAUCCUUUGUAUCGUCACUCGACGAGAAACAUUUUCUUUUUGCGCGAGGUGAGUUCCUCUGUCCUUGUCACACCACUCUUCUCCCUGCCCCCGCUGCCGCAGCGAGCGGAAUCGUGGGUGAAACGGCCACCCUCGUUCGCCCCGGUUUUCUCUCCUGUCCGCAGGGAUUCAUAAGAAAAGUUGCGUACUUUGGCGUGGAAGCGGCCCUCUUUCGAAAAACACCCCUCUUUCACCGACUCGGUUUAGCUUUCGAUCCGCUCGUUCGAGUAAACGCUCGGCUUCGUGGGAUCAGCCGGUCUCCUCUUCCUCUCUUGUAUGUUCCUGCGAGAAAGUUUCUUCCCUCUUCUCUUCGUAUCACUUGUCUCGCUCCACGGCAGAGUCUCGUUUCUUACUCGCGGCGAAUAAACGCGCUGCUCGCCUGGACUUCGUCGAGUUUCCGCCUCCGCGAGAAUUAUUGAGAGGGAUGAUCGUUUGAAUUAAUUUCUCGCUUGGCGUUCUAACGCUUCCUCAGAAUGAGUAGCGCAAUACGCAAAGAGCAAAUCUUCCCGCGAUAAUGAUCUAAGUUUACGAAACUUGGUGUGCUCUUGCGGGAUUCAUAAUAAUCCCCGUUUUUAUUUUACUCUCUGAUGAGAAAUUCUAUUUUUGGAAUCAUUCCCGUGUUCUCUUCGAUGUGUCUUAUAUCUUAUAUCUCUUCCGAGCCGCAACGAUUUUGCGAGGCCGCGAGGGUGACGUUAUACACCCCCGAGUUUCCGAUGCUCGCGAGCGGAGGCCGUCGCCCGCGCAAGCACGCGAGAGCUUACGGUCAUAAAAGUUUAUUGCUCUUCCUUCCCGUGGUUCACUCCUUCACGGAGUGUUGCGGGAGCGAGACUUUGUCGCUUCCCCGCGCGAAAGGGGAUCCCUCCUGAGUCCGGGACACGCGGCCAUUUGCACGUGCUCGCGAUAUUUUUGUGCUGAUAUCCACCUGCCUCCGCUCCAUCCUAUCUCUUUAUUCCACCCUCUCGUGUGCCCCCUAGGAGGAUACAUCUACUUUAACCGCUUUACGCGAGGGGACCGUCGCGUUACUUUCCAGGCAUAUUCAAAUAUAUACGAAUGUAUCCGAUCGAUAUGAUUUAUCAAACGUCAACGAAAUACAGGCAUUGUGUGCGUGAAAUUAUGAUAAUUACGUUAAUGCAAUAGUAAUUUUUGUGUAGAAAUCUUCUGGCUGGCGGAAGCGAUCAUCGCGUGAUCGCUCGUUGAAAAUGACCAACUUCCGGCCGGCUAAUCUCCGCGGGAGAAAUCAAGUAACGAAUGGUUGCUACGUAUAUUUACGAAUUUAUGACACGAACGUGCCGUCUAUUUUCUCAAAGCGCCGAUUUCUCAUCCAAGAAUAUACCUUAGAUUACGAUAGACUUUACUACCCCCGCGAGAGGACUCGGAAAACAGGAGGAAGCCUGAAGACUGCAGCUUGCCACCGGAAGUGCCUGCAACUUCGCGAGCUGCGCAUUCCAUUGAGGUAAUUCACUUAAUUGCGUCGUAAUUGCAUCUUCGUCAGGCCAAGUCGCGAACAUCGCGAAGCGAGAAACCGAGAACGCGAGAAAGGCCAAGUGUAACCGCUGAGGGGAAGGAGGAGAGGUGAGGGGGAGGAUUAAACCCGGGCGUUUGUAAUUCGAAUUGAAUUUAUCGCCGCGGAAACUACGAAGCGACGAAGUGACGGACGGAUGAACGAACGAACGACGAAGGGGGUGGCUCGCACGGAUGAAUAAUGGAGGCCCCAAUGAGAUUUUCCAGUUCGCCGCGGGGCACCGUGAUAUUAGCUUACGGUCGCUAUCGCGACUCCGACGUGGUCCCCGGAACGGCGACCGCGAAGCGCACAACCCGACCCGAGGUUUUGGAUUCGAGCCACCCUUCUCCUCCUUCCCACCGCCUCUCGUGCUACGCUUUCAUACCUUUCUCACCCCCGACGCCGACAUCUAUUAACGGGGAACAAGCGGAAAGAAAUACAAGGAUUAAAGGGGAUGCGCGGGGUUGGAAGCGAUGCAUUGUGAGCACAGAUUAAAUUCUCAUCCCUCGCAAGAAAAGACCACCGAAUAAUUUCGUUGACGAGUCGCGUGUCCCUGAAUUGAUCGGCGACCGCUUUUACAAGACGGCGCAAGACGCGUAAAUGGAUAAUGCAGCCGGCAUCGAUCAGAUGAAUGAAGAGAUAGCGUGAAAGGGAAAGCAAGAUCGAAGGAGAACCGGCAAUUCGCGCGGCAGCCACCGCCGCUGGCGAGAAAAUUGCUUUCAGCUUGGCCUUUCGCGACACUUCGUCCGGGGGAGAGAAGUAGGAGCCGACCCUCCCUUGAAGAAACGAGAAACGAAAAUGUAUUUCCGGAUGUAUGCCGGCAAAUCGAAAACCCGGACCGGCGAUUGUGCGAAUGAGUGCCGAACCGUUCGAUGGAACCGGUGAAUGGUCCGCUCGGCAAAACCAGAGAAAUUACGUGGGUGGGCAGGCAGCCGUCAAGGACGCAGUUCUCUCUCGCAGCGAGAAGCGGAAAAUGUAGAACAAGAAGCGAGGAAAAGUAAGAGAGAUGAAGAGACAUCCGUGGGAGACCGCCGCGGGAAGAAUUAUCGGCCGACGUCCGGCGUGUUUUCCCUCUCGCGAGAGAAAUGCGCUCCUCACGAUAAAAUUGCGGCGCGAUCCGCGAGUCUGCUUUGCGAUUCAGACGCGUCUCCGGUACAUUACGCGAAUUGCCUAGGGACGAUUUCUACUGCGAAUUUGGGAAUUCCGAGGAAGUGAAAUUUCUUGACGAUUUUCAGGGAACAUUGUCUCGAAGAAUUUUGGAGCGUUUGAUAUUGUGAAGAGACAUAAUUUAUAUCUGUGUAUUAAAGCGAAUCAUUCAUCAG